CCUCUCUCAGGACAGCACCUGGAGAGUUUCCAGUACUCUACCAGUCUCAGCUAUAGGAGGGAGAGUCAAACAGAGGCCUACCCAUUCCAUUCCUCGCUUGGGCAGUGGCUAGUGAGUGGAAGCUGAUCUGCUACAAGU